GAUGGUUUGACUCGCAAUAUGCUGAAUGAUAUUCAUAACCAUUGGAAACAUGAAGAAGCAGUGAGGAUAAAAUGUCAAGGUGGUCCAACUGUUGACAUGAGAAAUGUUUGCACCCAGCUCGAGGAGCUUUGUUUUUGUUACUGUUGGAACAAUUAAGGUUCAGAUAAGAGAGCUUGUUCUUGUCUUGGCUUUCACUACUACAGAAACCAGAUACGUGGACACCCGAUUUUUUUUAUAAGGAUGGUUUUUAACUUUCAAUGUCAUAUAUACCAUUUAAGGACAUUCAGUCCAAAACAGGCCGAGAGAUAAAAAGGAAAGAAAAGUCUUCACCCUUAAAAAUAAAGAAACAAGCCAUGCUCUCUCUCCUCUCACGAAACGACUCCUUUUCAGAUCUAGAUCUAGCAGUCUUUCUUCAUCUUCUCGGCCUUCUUCGUACUGUCUGAUGAUUUUCAAGUUUCCUCAAUUUGCCAUCCUCUCCGACCGGAUGCGAGCGAAAUCUGAAAGCCAUCUGACAAAACAAAUGAUUGACGUUGUCUCUCCCAUCGCCGAAGCACCAUGUUAGAUCUAUUAUCCUUCUCUACCUAUCAUAUGGGGCUCUUCAGUUGGAGAACAACCUUAUGUAUAAGCCAAAUGAUCAUACUUUUACCACAAAGUUGGAUAUAUGUGGAGUUUAGUGAUAUUGCAGGUCCUUGAUCCCUACUCGUUUCAGAAAUUUAUAUGCUUUGAAGAAACACAUCAAAAACAGACAAGUCCAUUGUGUCUCCCCAUCUACUGAGCUCUUUCUAGAAUAUAUAGCCUUUACAAUGUCAAGAUGUUUGUAGUAGGGAUGAACUUGCUUUCGAAAGCGAUUCUGAGUGAGGGAAGCCUCAUUUUUGCACUCAUGGCGUAUCGGCACGUGGUUGCGGCCAUUUGUGUUGCUUUGCGCUCUGUUUGGAAAGGUUUAAUCCCUUUACUGCAUAUUUCCUUGCUGUGAUUUUGUUUUGCUGCUCUUCUUCCAACAUGGUUUUCGGCAUUGCAAUUGUUGCAAGAUCAAGGAACAGAAGCUAGGUUGGUUAGUUUGGUUCUGGCUAUUGACUGGGGCUUCACUAUUCUGUACAGACUAAUGGUAGAUGCAUACCUAAAGAUUAAUUGGGGCUGCUGGUACUGUUGACUUGUGGGUCUAUCAGUCAGUCAGAUUUUAUAGAUUCAAAAACAAUUGCAUGAUCAACUUGUGGCACGUCAUGCUUUAGCUACGGCUUUAAGUUAUCAGCACAUAUCAUACGAUUCUACGAUCGAAGACUCACUCCCAAAGCAAGCGUAGUUUGGAACUUCAAAUUUAUAUGCAGAAGAACAUCUUGGAACUUAUUUCUCUGAUGAUGUUCCAGAAUCACCAAAUUGCCUUUUUGAAGAAAUGAUCAAGUGCAUUUCAGCAAUAUAUUGUGAACUUGCAGACCCGCCUAUUGUCAAUAACGGUUACACUUGUUCUCCAAUCACAUUCUCAGCAC